rnacentral:rRNA from 1 species
CCUACGGGAGGCAGCAGUGAGGAAUAUUUGUCAAUGGACGCAAGUCUGAACCAGCCAUGCCGCGUGCAGGGAGACUGCUCUAUGAGUUGUACACUGCUUUUGUACGAGGGUAAACGCAGAUACGCGUAUCUGUCUGAAAGUAUCGUACGAAUAAGGAUCGGCUAACUCCGUGCCAGCAGCCGCGGUACUACGGAGGAUUCAAGCGUUAUCCGGAUUUAUUGGGUUUAAAGGGUGCGUAGGCGGUCGGAUAAGUUAGAGGUGAAAUCCCGAGGCUCAACUUCGGAAUUGCCUCUGAUACUGUUCGGCUAGAGAGUAGUUGCGGUAGGCGGAAUGUAUGGUGUAGCGGUGAAAUGCUUAGAGAUCAUACAGAACACCGAUUGCGAAGGCAGCUUACCAAGCUACUUCUGACGUUGAGGCACGAAAGCGUGGGGAGCAAACAGGAUUAGAUACCCGAGUAGUC